rnacentral:rRNA from 1 species
GACGAACGCUGGCGGCGUGCCUAAUACAUGCAAGUUGAGCGAUGAAGAUUGGUGCUUGCACCAAUUUGAAGAGCAGCGAACGGGUGAGUAACGCGUGGGGAAUCUGCCUUUGAGCGGGGGACAACAUUUGGAAACGAAUGCUAAUACCGCAUAAUAACUUUAAACAUAAGUUUUAAGUUUGAAAGAUGCAAUUGCAUCACUCAAAGAUGAUCCCGCGUUGUAUUAGCUAGUUGGUGAGGUAAAGGCUCACCAAGGCGAUGAUACAUAGCCGACCUGAGAGGGUGAUCGGCCACAUUGGGACUGAGACACGGCCCAAGCUCCUACGGGAGGCAGCAGUAGGGAAUCUUCGGCAAUGGACGAAAGUCUGACCGAGCAACGCCGCGUGAGUGAAGAAGGGUUUCGGAUCGUAAAACUUUGUUGGUAGAGAAGAACGUUGGUGAGAGUGGAAAGCUCAUCAAGUGACGGUAACUACCCAGAAAGGGACGGCUAACUACGUG